ACACAUGCAAGUCGAACGAGAGAGAGGGAGCUUGCUUCCUUGAUCGAGUGGCGAACGGGUGAGUAACGCGUGAGGAACCUGCCUCAAAGAGGGGGACAACAGUUGGAAACGACUGCUAAUACCGCAUAAGCCCACGACCCGGCAUCGGGAAGAGGGAAAAGGAGCAAUCCGCUUUGAGAUGGCCUCGCGUCCGAUUAGCUAGUUGGUGAGGUAACGGCCCACCAAGGCGACGAUCGGUAGCCGGACUGAGAGGUUGAACGGCCACAUUGGGACUGAGACACGGCCCAGACUCCUACGGGAGGCAGCAGUGGGGAAUAUUGCACAAUGGGGGAAACCCUGAUGCAGCGACGCCGCGUGGAGGAAGAAGGUCUUCGGAUUGUAAACUCCUGUUGUUGAGGAAGAUAAUGACGGUACUCAACAAGGAAGUGACGGCUAACUGCGUGCCAGCAGCCGCGGUAAAACGUAGGUCACAAGCGUUGUCCGGAAUUACUGGGUGUAAAGGGAGCGCAGGCGGGCGAUCAAGUUGGAAGUGAAAUCCAUGGGCUCAACCCAUGAACUGCUUUCAAAACUGGUCGUCUUGAGUAGUGCAGAGGUAGGCGGAAUUCCCGGUGUAGCGGUGGAAUGCGUAGAUAUCGGGAGGAACACCAGUGGCGAAGGCGGCCUACUGGGCACCAACUGACGCUGAGGCUCGAAAGUGUGGGUAGCAAACAGGAUUAGAUACCCUGGUAGUCCACACCGUAAACGAUGAUUACUAGGUGUUGGGAGAUUGACCCUCUCAGUGCCGCAGUUAACACAAUAAGUAAUCCACCUGGGGAGUACGACCGCAAGGUUGAAACUCAA
rnacentral:rRNA from 1 species